rnacentral:lncRNA from 1 species
CGCGGACAAGGGGCUUAACCUCCUGCAGAGAAGUGGCACGUGGAAGAUGCUUCUGGCAACACGGGCGCAGGUGGGCAGCGGAACGCAGCCGCGGGACAUGGCAGGGCGGACACACAGCUCCUGAGCCGGGAGACACGCGCCACGGGGCUGCUGCUCGGAAUUCGUCUUCACUGUCACAGGGCGUGAGCGGACCCUUGUGAUGACACUGGGCCGGCCCAGGUAAUCCAGGACGAUCUCCGUCUCGAGAUCCUUGGCUGAGUCACACCCGCAAAGCCCCUUUCCCACGUCACGUUCGCAGGUGGCGGGGUCAGAGCGUGGACAUCUCUGGGAGCCACUGUUCAGCCUUUACGUCAAAUAAACAAGGUGGGGAGGUGGCGAAAGUUCCGGGUUGGGAAGGAACGUCACAGACCAGCUGUGUGGCUCCAGCCGUCUCCUGGCCUCCCUGGGCCUGGUACACACGGGCCUGCUCUCUGCCGGGCGACAGCUCCAGCUGUGGUGUGUGCAGCAUCCAUUCUCUUUUCACUGGUCACAGCUCCUCUGUUCUCCGGGGGAACAGUCCGUCUCUGGCUCUCAGUCCAGGUGCUGCACGUGGAUGUGAACAUCCUCUCCUCUCCAGUCAAGGAUGAGCAAGGGGCGAGCCUGGCCCAUCAGCGUGGGUCAUGACCUUGGCGGGGCCAGUGGUGAGAGCUUUACCUGGAAAUUGGGCCAGGCUCUCUUUCUUCGAGGUGGCGAAGCCAGCAGAAUGAAACCUGGAGCUGCUGGUGGUCGUCCUGCCUCCAGAUAGGAAGACCUUGCUUGAGAGUAGAUCUAUAGAGAAGAAAACAGACUAAGAAGCAGAGGAAGGCCAAUUCCUAUUGACCUUGAGCACCUGGGUCCAGCUGUACCUGAAGCUGGACAGGCCCUGAAAUUUUCAGAUACUGAGAUGAUAAAUCCCCCUUUUGGCUUCAGCCAGCUUGAAUUGAGUUUGUAAUUCUUGCUACUAAGAGUCCUGACUGGUGCUCCCUUCUUCAAUUUGGGCCACUCAGCCCAAUAUCGCAGAAUUAACAUGCCAUUUUGCAUGUAGGCACCAACCUCAUGGGGGCCUCGCUUGCCUGCCUUCCUCUCCCUCCUCUUCCCCUGCCAGCUAUGCUGUUGGGUGAUACAUCGUAAUGUAUAUUUAACAGUGGCUCAAAAUCGAAUUAAUUUAGAUCGGUUAAUAAACUGACAUCCGUUUCU